rnacentral:rRNA from 1 species
AUGAACGCUGGCGGCGUGCUUAACACAUGCAAGUCGAACGAAGCACUUUAUUUGAUUUCCUUCGGGACUGAUUAUUUUGUGACUGAGUGGAGGACGGGUGAGUAACGCGUGGGUAACCUGCCUUGUACAGGGGGAUAACAGUUGGAAACGGCUGCUAAUACCGCAUAAGCGCACGGCAUCGCAUGAUGCAGUGUGAAAAACUCCGGUGGUAUAAGAUGGACCCGCGUUGGAUUAGCUAGUUGGUGAGGUAACGGCCCACCAAGGCGACGAUCCAUAGCCGACCUGAGAGGGUGACCGGCCACAUUGGGACUGAGACACGGCCCAAACUCCUACGGGAGGCAGCAGUGGGGAAUAUUGCACAAUGGGCGAAAGCCUGAUGCAGCGACGCCGCGUGAGCGAAGAAGUAUUUCGGUAUGUAAAGCUCUAUCAGCAGGGAAGAUAAUGACGGUACCUGACUAAGAAGCACCGGCUAAAUACGUG